GGUGGAGGGUGGGUGUGGCCUUAACCAGCUUGCGGCUACGGUACCAUGAGCUAAUGUUGACAAUGGAUGUAUCGCAAUGGCUCGUAGACACGCAGUCAUUCAAGCGUUUCAGUUUGACCCAGAAUCUGAUCCGGAUGAAGAAGUUGCAACUUGCAACUCAGCGGCUACAGCAGGACAUCUCCGAAUGUGGUGCCAGAUGAGGAAUCAGGCACGAGUGUAUUUACACCACACAGAGGUGUGUCCACACGUCCCGUAGCGCCUGUGUGAAGUGGUCGGAUGUUGGUCCCUCAUGCGGUCCUUGCAAGUCUUCCAAAAUCCUGGUCAAAAUGAAGGAAAUUUCCUGUCUGAGGCAAUUCUUUGUUUGUUUCCUCGGAUGAGGUGGGGAAAAAAUAGUCUGAACGAGGAGGCAGAGCUCGCAUGACACUGCCCAGCUAAACAUUAGAGCCUAAUGUGUCAUCUGAACAGGCCCUGAAUGGAAAUUUACAGUGGAACAUGUCAAAGUGGGCUUCCCUCAUGUUUUAUUAAGCUGAUUUUUUUUUUUUGGCUGAGACCACAAAUCCCAAACAAACAGGACGGCCGAGGAGCGGGAGAAUGGGCUGACUCAUCAGAGAGAGUGAGAGUGAGAGAGAUGGUGAAGAGCUCUCCAUUCUCGCUGAACCAGAGCAAAGAGGGCCGACCGGUGCUCUGCAUACAAGCUCAUGGACCACCCAGGUUUCUCUACUAUAAAGUAAUAUUGCUUUAGCCACCUCUACUGCUGCAUUGGUUAGGCUAAAGGUAUGAAGUUAUUACAGGCGUCUAGAAAAUAUUAUGCGAUCUGAAUACUCCUGACCACCACAACAGAGGGACGGCGGUUUGACAAGUAUUAAAAACUGCUUAAACAUAUACAGUAAGACUAAAAUAAAUACAUUAUUUUUUAAUAUUAUAGACCAUUCACAGGUAGGUCAGGUUUCUACAUUGUCCUUACAUCUUAUAUAAAGACUUUUAUUUUAUAUGUAUUUGUAUAUUUUAUUAAAGGCUAAAAAUAAAUUAAAAAGGGACAAGAAAGAACA